AUAAUGAAACAUUGGCCUAUUCUCCUUUGUCAAUCGGGUAUUUAUUGGCAUUUUAACAAAUUAAUGGAUAAAGAUAUUAACGAAUUAAGUAAAGCCAUGAUCAAAAAGGCCGAAAAUAUUAUACAACUUGUGGUAAAGAAAAAGUACAUUACAGACAUUCCAGAAGCAGAGGAUGCAAAACUAAUCUGCGUUUUACAAGUUAUUUCAAAGUUUUUUACUGAAAGUUUAAAUUUGUUGUAUGCGCAGAUACCUGAGAACGACGACACCUACGGAAUUUUACCCAAGAAUCAUAACAGUGCUCCGUGGAUUGCUGCAGUGGGAAGCGAAACUCAAAUCAAUAUGAAAUACCACGUAAUUGUGGUAAACCAAAAAACUAAUAAUGGAACAGAUACACUGACGCAUGCCAUACAGCAAAUGUUUGCAAUAUAUUAUACUUUUAAUCUCGCUUAUCCCCAAGGAUUAUCACAUACUUUAGAAUUUAUGCAAACGUAUUUUUUUAAAAUUCAACCCGAGUAGGACACAAAGAGUACAAGGAAAACAUCUCAGAUGAAACUUUUGUCACUUAUAAAAAAAUUACGUGACAGAAUUUAAAGAUCAUAUUGGUAAUGUAUAAAUGCAUGAAGAUUUAAGAAGGU